CCUACGGGUGGCAGCAGUGAGGAAUAUUGGUCAAUGGACGAGAGUCUGAACCAGCCAAGUAGCGUGAAGGAUGACUGCCCUAUGGGUUGUAAACUUCUUGUAUAGGGGAAUAAAAUGUGCCACGUGGGGGAGUUUGUAUGUACCAUAUGAAUAAGGAUCGGCUAACUCCGUGCCAGCAGCCGCGGUAAUACGGAGGAUCCGAGCGUUAUCCGGAUUUAUUGGGUUUAAAGGGAGCGUAGGUGGAUUGUUAAGUCAGUGGGGAAAGUUGGCGGCUCAACCGGAAAAUUGCCGUUGAAACUGGCAGUCUUGAGUACAGUAGAGGUGGGCGGCCUUCGUGGUGUCGCGG
rnacentral:rRNA from 1 species